CCUACGGGAGGCAGCAGUAGGGAAUCUUUCACAAUGGGCGAAAGCCUGAUGGAGCAACGCCGCGUGCAGGAUGAAGGCCUUCGGGUUGUAAACUGCUUUUAUAAGCGAGAAAUAUGAUGUUAACUUAUGAAUAAGGAUCGGCUAACUACGUGCCAGCAGCCGCGGUCAUACGUAGGAUCCGAGCAUUAUCCGGAGUGACUGGGUGUAAAGAGUUGCGUAGGUGGAAUAAUAAGUAGCUAGUGAAAUCUGGUGGCUCAACCAUUCAGACUAUUAGCUAAACUGUUAAGCUCGAGACCGUUAGGGGUAACUGGAAUUUCUAGUGUAGGAGUGAAAUCCGUAGAUAUUAGAAGGAACACCAAUAGCGUAGGCAGGUUGCUGGGACGGUUCUGACACUAAGGCACGAAAGCGUAGGGAGCAAACGGGAUUAGAUACCCGGGUAGUC
rnacentral:rRNA from 1 species